AACGAGGUUAUGAUCUCCAUGAUGUACAAGCAUACGGUCAGGUAUACAGAGAUACAUCCUCUCUCCUCUCUUCUACUUUAAAAAAUCACAAAACUCGCCUAAACCUUACUUGGCUCGACAGAUGCUGGAUUCGAUGAGGUAAUCGCAGAGGAUAGAACCGAUCAGUUCAUGAAAGUCCUGAAACGGGAACUGGACGCAGUUGAGAAGGAGAAGGAUGACUUCAUCAGUGACUUCUCUAAGGAGGACUACGAGGAUAUUGUUGGUGGGUGGAACUCAAAGCUACUCAGGAGCUCAAGUGGUGAACAGAAGUGGGGUUUGUUCAUGGCCAAGAGAAAUUGAUUGUUUAGCCUUCUUAAUACUUAAAACAAAUAAAUAAAUAAAUUGGGCUAUGUAAGAUACAUCAAAACCGAGUUCCCUCCUAUCAUGUAUUCAAGCUACAUGUGUUGCUUUCUCUCUCUCUCCAUGUGAGCUUUUCUUUAAUCAUUUAUAUAUACAACAAGUUUGGUGUUUAA